UACAGGUUUGGUCCUAGCCUUAUUAUUGAUUAUCAGCAAGACUACACAUGCAAGUAACCGCAUACCAGUGAGAAUGCCCUUUAGAUAUUUCCACAAUCAACAGGAGCAGGUAUCAAGCACGCUAAUCAGCAGCUCAUUACACCUUGCUAAACCACUCCCCCACGGGUUACAGCAGUGACAAAACUUAAGCAAUAAACGAAAGUUCGACUAAGCUAUACUGAUCACUAGGGUUGGUAAAUUUCGUGCCAGCUACCGCGGUCAUACGAUUAACCCAAAUUAAUAAUUUACGGCGUAGAAUGUGUUUAAGAUGCUUAUAUAAAUAAAGUUAAAUUUUAUCUAAGCUGUAAAAUGCUCUAGCUAAAAAUAAAAAUAACCCACGAAAGUAACUUUAGCAGCUCUGAAGCCACGAUAGCUAAGACUCAAACUGGGAUUAGAUACCCCACUAUGCUUAGCCCUAAACUUAAGUAAUUUUACUACAACAAUAUUACUCGCCAGAGAACUACAAGCAACAGCUUAAAACUCAAAGGACUUGGCGGUGCUUUAUAUCCGUCUAGAGGAGCCUGUUCUAUAAUCGAUAAACCCCGAUAGACCCUACCCCCUCUUGCUAAUUCAAUCUAUAUACCGCCAUCCUCAGCAAACCCUACCAAGGCCAUAAAGUAAGCUCAAUCAUGUAACAUAAAAACGUUAGGUCAAGGUGUAAUCUAUGAGGUGGAAAGAAAUGGGCUACAUUUUCUCAUGACAGAACAACUCACCCACGACAAUCUUUAUGAAACUAAAGACAAAAGGAGGAUUUAGCAGUAAGUUAAGAAUAGAGAGCUUGACUGAAUAAGGCCAUGAAGCACGCACACACCGCCCGUCACCCUCCUCAAAUACAAUAUACCAAUUCCCUAAUGACAAAAUUCUUAGCCAUAAGAGGAGAUAAGUCGUAACAAGGUAAGCAUACUGGAAGGUGUGCUUGGAGUACU
rnacentral:ncRNA from 1 species